GAGUUUGAUCGUGGCUCAGAUUGAACGCUGGCGGCAUGCCUAACACAUGCAAGUCGAACGGCAGCACUGGGAGCUUGCUCCCUGGUGGCGAGUGGCGGACGGGUGAGUAACGCGUAGGAAUCUGCCUCAUAGCGGGGGACAACUCGGGGAAACUCGAGCUAAUACCGCAUACUACUCGAGAGAGGAAAGCAGGGGACCUUCGGGCCUUGCACUAUGAGAUGAGCCUGCGUUGGAUUAGCUAGUUGGUAGGGUAAAGGCCUACCAAGGCGACGAUCCAUAACUGGUUUGAGAGGAUGACCAGUCACACUGGGGACUGAGACACGGCCCAGACUCCUACGGGAGGCGAGCAGUGGGGAAUAGUUGGAC
rnacentral:rRNA from 1 species